AGAGUUUGAUCCUGGCUCAGGAUGAACGCUAGCGGGAGGCUUAAUACAUGCAAGUCGAGCGGUACUAUGAGUAGCAGUACGAGUAGCUAGAGCGGCGCACGGGUGAGUAACGCGUACAUGACCUGCCCUUUACUGGGGGAUAGCCUCGGGAAACUGAGAUUAAUACCCCAUGGUAUUAUUAUGCUGCAUGGUGUGAUAAUUAAAGCUGAGGCGGUAAAGGAUGGGUGUGCGUCUGAUUAGCUAGUUGGAAAGGUAACGGCUUACCAAGGCGAUGAUCAGUAGGGGGCGUGAGAGCGUGAACCCCCACACGGGUACUGAGACACGGACCCGACUCCUACGGGAGGCAGCAGUAAGGAAUAUUGGUCAAUGGAGGAAACUCUGAACCAGCCAUCCCGCGUGAAGGAUGAAGGGGCUCUGCCUUGUAAACUUCUUUUGAAUGGGACGAAAAAAGGGGAUUUAUCCUCGACUGACGGUACCAUUAGAAUAAGCACCGGCUAACUCCGUGCCAGCAGCCGCGGUAAUACGGAGGGUGCAAGCGUUAUCCGGAAUCACUGGGUUUAAAGGGUGCGUAGGCGGCUAAAUAAGUCAGUGGUGAAAGGCCGUGGCUUAACCAUGGGAUUGCCAUUGAUACUGUAUAGCUUGAAUGAGGAUGAGGUUGGCGGAAUGUGGCAUGUAGCGGUGAAAUGCUUAGAUAUGCCAUGGAACAUCGAUUGCGAAGGCAGCUGACUGGACCUGAAUUGACGCUGAGGCACGAAAGCGUGGGUAGCGAACAGGAUUAGAUACCCUGGUAGUCCACGCCCUAAACGAUGCUUACUCGUUGUUUGAUCGCAAGAUUGAGUGACUAAGGGAAACCGAUAAGUAAGCCACCUGGGGAGUACGACCGCAAGGUUGAAACUCAAAGGAAUUGACGG
rnacentral:rRNA from 1 species